AAUACAAAACAAUGGACACUCCGAAAAUGGUUAACAAUUUGAUUCGACGUUUCGACUAGCUUGCAGUCAUCAUCAGGAAUGAUGACUGCAAGCUAGUUGAAACAUCGAAUCAAAAUGUUAACCAUUUUCGGAGUGUCCAUUGUUUUGUAUU